rnacentral:rRNA from 1 species
CUACGGGCGGCUGCAGUAGGGAAUAUUGCGCAAUGGGGGCAACCCUGACGCAGCAAUACCGCGUGAGUGAGGAAGGCCUUAGGGUUGUAAAGCUCUGUCUUUGGGGACAAAUGGGUUAAUUGUGAAUAGCAGUUGAUUUUGAUGGUACCCAAGAAGAAAGCACCGGCUAACUUCGUGCCAGCAGCCGCGGUAAUACGAAGGGUGCAAGCGUUGUUCGGAUUUAUUGGGCGUAAAGCGCGCGCAGGCGGAUUAAUAAGUCAGGUGUGAAAUCUCGGGGCUUAACCUCGAAACAGCGCCUGAAACUGUAAAUCUAGAAUCCCAAAGGGGGAAGGGGAAUUUCUCGUGUAGGAGUAAAAUCCGUAGAUAUGAGAAGGAACACCGGUGGCGAAGGCGCCUUCCUGGUUGGGUAUUGACGCUGAGGCGCGAAAGCGUGGGGAGCAAACAGGAUUAGAUACCCUUGUAGUC